rnacentral:rRNA from 1 species
GACGAACCUUGCUAACGUUAUUCGGAAUUACUGGGCUUAAAGCGUGCGCAGGCGGCGCGUUAAGACAGGUGUGAAAGCCCCGAGCUUAACUUGGGAAUUGCGCUUGUGACUGGCGUGCUGGAGUGUGGCAGAGGGAGGUGGAAUUCCACGUGUAGCAGUGAAAUGCGUAGAGAUGUGGAGGAACACCGAUGGCGAAGGCAGCCUCCUGGGCCAGCACUGACGCUCAUGCACGAAAGCGUGGGGAGCAAACAGG